AAGGCCUCCUUAGUUGGGGAACCUAAACUAUACAUUUAUCGAUAUUAUAAUGAUAUAUGUAAGUAAAAGUAGUAAAAGCAUUUUUCAAAGUGUGGUGGUUGUUUAAGACAGAUGUAUAUUGGGACAUAUCCGCGCUAUGGUCUUGGUUUAACGUGUCAGAAUGUUCAUAAUAGCUAUUUGAAUCCAUAUUGUCAUUUGAAUUUUUGGUAGCAACACGACUUUCGCUUUCCUCCAAUAAAAUUUUGUUACAAUAUUCCGGAUCAAUUUCCGAUACACAGUUUUUUCGCAAAUUAAGACAUGUUCACUUGCGAUCACUGACGCGUACAAUUCGGUUAGUUUUUUUUCGAUUUUCUUAAUGUAUAACGCUGUUCUGUGAAAUGAAAAAAUAUUAGUGCUCAGUAUAGGAAACGUUUUGAAGCAGUUCUUCUAACGAAGCAUCGUAAUAGUCCCAAAUGGACUAUUUAAAUACGAGUUGUACAUUUGUGAAGAAGAUUAGGAAACGGAGUUGUCAGACCAGGAAGAGAGAGGAAUCACGGGAAAUCUAAAAUAAGGACAAAGCCAGCGGGGUACGCAGAAACAAAUUUCACGUGAGCUUUUCUGUACAAAUUUUGCAUCAUGUUAAAAAGGGAUGAGAAAACUAAAAAUAGUUAGUACUGCCAACGUGUAGUUUUUGUCGUUUAAUAUAACAUACGUCUAUUACUAGUAUUCAUUAAAUCAUAUUGACUUUUCCACUGAUCAAAAUUUUUAGCAAAUGCAAAAAGUGUUUAUUAUCGUGGGGCUGUGAUAUUGGUCAUCAGAGUCACCCCAAUCCAAUGGAAAAUGUUUGGACUUUAAUGAACACCAAAAUAUGAAGAUUUAACGUCUGCAAAAUAUUUCAUUCUCUACUCUAACAUACCCGGAGAUCGCUUCCCGUGGAAUAUGCGGAAUAUUUACAUGAACCUUGUCAUCAAAGAUGACAGGUUAUAAUGAGCCACGCGGGAGAUUGAAGCAAGUAUUGAAUAAAUUCCAGAUAUAACAAAAUAAGGUAUUUUCUAAAGUUACAAAAUAUUUACCAAUAAACGCUACCUACACUUAGAAAACAAAAACGUUACAUUUUGAAUAGCACUGUAUGGGCAAAAUUUAGCAUAACAGCAUAUUUUUUUAAGUAGUCUGUUUUUCGUUUGUAUUUUGUAUUUAUUCGCCAUGAUUUACUUCUAAUCACUUACUCAUUUUUAGCACCUUUAAGAGCGAAAGGUCAAAGGUUUCAUAGCAAAUAGCUAUAUGGGCAUUUUUUAAUUGUUCUCUGAGUGCAGCAGCGUCAACACACGUUCAUCAAAAUCGACAGCUAUUAAAAACAACAACGUAAGAAAUAAAAUGAAAUGAACAAUUUCUUUUUUAGCUUAGAAUGCCGCUUGCAACGGAAAUCUCAAUUGAAGAACAGUUAAAAAUAAAAACCGUGUGUGAUACAAUCAUCGAUAUACAAUCAUUAAAUUUAUAAAAGAUCCAGAAGAAUAAGCGAAAGCACAAGACGGCACAAUAGAGAACUUGCCACUGAGGCUAUGACGAGUUGCUCAAAAUUAAAGUUCAGCUAGAACUAUCAGUGAGAUUUGCCACAAGUGCAACAAUGGUGGGGGAUCCCUGAUGGUAUGGGCUGAAUUUGAGAGAAAUACAAGAUAUGCUUUGUACCUACUCGUAUGAAUGCUGAAAAUAUGUAGAGCUGUUGGAAAGCGAGGUUAUCCCAUUCGAUGAAGGGUUCCAUGGCGAAUACUGGAUAUUUCAAUAAGACAAAGCACCAUUACAUGUAGUAAAGUACACCAAGGCAAAAGCAUAGCAUGCUGUUACUGUAGUGGCCCGCUCUAAAUCUGGAUCUUAAUUCAGUAGAGGAUCUAUGGGGCAUUCCAAUUCGAAUCUCUAAAACAGCUUUAAGAAACAAUUGUAAAAGAAUGGGCCAAUGUAGCGACGAUUGCAAAUGGUUCAAACUCACAAAGGCCUUACUUAAUAUAGCCGAAAAUCAUUUAUAUUUUUUUUUUAUAUUACUAUUGCUUUUUUUAAUAUUUUCUAUUCUUUCAUCUACUGCUUACAAACAUCUUACUUGAAGACACAUUCGACUUUCUUCAGAAUUUUGAACACAAUUACAUAAUACAUACACACACUUUUGGAAUAUAUUUUUAAACUAAUUUCGAAUUUUCUAAACAAACAAAACGCUAUCUUGUUUCUUGAUCUUAUUGAAUGAGUGCGAAUGAGAAAAAAUAUUUGUCAUUAGUGCAAAAUGUUGUGAUUUUAUAAAUUUGUAUUUAACUAUUUUUUUUUUCACUUUUCCAGCAUAACAAUCAACGUACAUAUAUUCCUUACAUUGGAUGUCCUCUCAAUUGUAACAUUUUUUUUAUUUCCAGGCAUAUAAACAUUUCAUUGAAAAUGUGAUGGACUUCUUUAUACUCUCUGCAUGACUGUAUUGUAUACGCAUAUAGGACCGUGAAUUAGCAUCUACGCGGUCAAUGACUUAAGCGCCUAGAAACUCCAAUGAUUGAUCAAAUUCCAACAGAAUAAAGCUUUUAUAAUUUCAUGCUAUAAGUUGUGUAUUAUACAUUUUGUUUGUUAUUUAAAAGGAAUCCAUUCUUUCCUGCACCAAAAAUGAGACCCGGUUAUAAAAAUUAAUUGCGACAACUUAUUUAAUUUUUAAACGAAUUUCAUUUAUAUUUUGUUUUUUGCUAUACAUAGCGCAUAAAAGCUGAUGAAUUAGUUUAGGUUGAAUUUAAGUUUAUAACUUAUAGUAAAAGUAUGUAAAAUAAUUUAUAUGUAAUAAAUAAAUACUUAUUAAAAAUUAAAAAUUUUGUUUAAAAUUUUAAAAAUAUUUUAAAUUCAAGGCUGACCUAGUGCAUGAUUGUGUUAUAUAAGGUUAUGUCGAUAGCGCAAAAACUACAAUUUUUUAAACGUGUUUUAAAUCAAAUGUUUUUAAGAUUUCAACCAGUAUGCGUUUUUCUCAUAAGAAAGCACGCUCCGAAGUAACACAACCAACAAUAUAAUUGAAUCAUGGCCUAGUGUUUCACUAGUUUUUUACCACUUUUGGCUGGCAUGGAUGCCAUAAAUUAUAAAGAAAGAGAUAUAACAUCAAUAUGAUCUAUAUCUAGGAUAGGUAUGUCCAGGAUAAUUGAGAAAUUCUUUCAAUGUAUUGCACUUCUGGUAGCCGAGAUUUUCUGGGUUAUAAUCGAAUUGUAUUCUAGUUAAUUAUUAAAAAUGAACGAGAAUAUGUGUUGAGAUAUCUGAUUAGAACAGAAUAAUUUCGCUCAUUACCUUUACAUCUCUCACGUAAAUUAUACCAAAAAAAAUUUAUGUGUAUGUUGUGAACUGAAAUUUUAUAACGCUAUCUAUCGACUUAUAGUGAAAUUAGCACAGAUUGUCCUUCGUUCAUGUACGUGUGUCUAAAUUAAAAUAUUUAUAGUCUGUCAAAAUUUUUUUUGUUUCCCAUAUACAGUGUCACACAAAAUAAUAGUAAGAAGAAAAGUCCUGUUAAAUACAAUAGUCUAUUAAGAAAAUUUCUUUCACAACCGAUUCCCACAAUUACCAAAAAAUAAUUUUAAAAUUUUUAAUCCCACACACCGGAUUAAAAUAUACAAAAAAUUUUAGUCCCAAAACACUGGGUUAAAAAUGUAUUUUUUCUUUGUAUAUUUAAUUUUUAAUCCCAACUACCGGACUUAAAAAUUAAAAAUAAAAAUUUUCACCUUAAGCAUAUAUCUGAUUAAGAAUUAAAACAGAAUUUGUUUUAGAAUGAACAUUCCAAAAAUAAUAUUUUCAAUUAUCAAUUUAUAAUACCAACAUCGGGAUUAAACAAUUUAAAUCUAAUUUUAAAUCUAAUUUUUAAAUUGUUGAAUUAAAAAAUUCGCAACCCGAUCACAACCAAUGAAAAAUUCAAGAAAUAAGUGUUAUACAUUAUUGGCCCAUUCAGUAAGUUCACCUGUUACUUAAAAUAAAACAAAAGCAUUUUAUUGGAGAAUAAUUUACUCUUAAA